CGGUGGCCAUAGCGGAGGGGCCACACCCGUUCCCAUCCCGAACACGGCCGUUAAGCCCUCCAGCGCCUAUGGUACUGGGUCCUCCCGGGAGAGUAGGUCGCCGCCG
rnacentral:rRNA from 1 species